AGAUUAAGUUAUUAAGGGCGCACGGUGGAUGCCUUGGCACUAGAAGCCGAUGAAGGACGUUACUAACGACGAUAUGCUUUGGGGAGCUGUAAGUAAGCUUUGAUCCAGAGAUUUCCGAAUGGGGAAACCCAGCAUGAGUUAUGUCAUGUUAUCGAUAUGUGAAUACAUAGCAUAUCAGAAGGCACACCCGGAGAACUGAAACAUCUUAGUACCCGGAGGAAGAGAAAGAAAAUUCGAUUCCCUUAGUAGCGGCGAGCGAAACGGGAAGAGCCCAAACCAACAAGCUUGCUUGUUGGGGUUGUAGGACACUCUAUACGGAGUUACAAAGGACGACAUUAGACGAAUCAUCUGGAAAGAUGAAUCAAAGAAGGUAAUAAUCCUGUAGUCGAAAAUGUUGUCUCUCUUGAGUGGAUCCUGAGUACGACGGAGCACGUGAAAUUCCGUCGGAAUCUGGGAGGACCAUCUCCUAAGGCUAAAUACUCUCUAGUGACCGAUAGUGAACCAGUACCGUGAGGGAAAGGUGAAAAGCACCCCGGAAGGGGAGUGAAAUAGAACCUGAAACCGUGUGCUUACAAGUAGUCAGAGCCCGUUAAUGGGUGAUGGCGUGCCUUUUGUAGAAUGAACCGGCGAGUUACGAUUUGAUGCAAGGUUAAGCAGUAAAUGUGGAGCCGUAGCGAAAGCGAGUCUGAAUAGGGCGUUUAGUAUUUGGUCGUAGACCCGAAACCAGGUGAUCUACCCUUGGUCAGGUUGAAGUUCAGGUAACACUGAAUGGAGGACCGAACCGACUUACGUUGAAAAGUGAGCGGAUGAACUGAGGGUAGCGGAGAAAUUCCAAUCGAACCUGGAGAUAGCUGGUUCUCUCCGAAAUAGCUUUAGGGCUAGCCUCAAGUGAUGAUUAUUGGAGGUAGAGCACUGUUUGGACGAGGGGCCCCUCUCGGGUUACCGAAUUCAGACAAACUCCGAAUGCCAAUUAAUUUAACUUGGGAGUCAGAACAUGGGUGAUAAGGUCCGUGUUCGAAAGGGAAACAGCCCAGACCACCAGCUAAGGUCCCAAAAUAUAUGUUAAGUGGAAAAGGAUGUGGCGUUGCCCAGACAACUAGGAUGUUGGCUUAGAAGCAGCCAUCAUUUAAAGAGUGCGUAAUAGCUCACUAGUCGAGUGACACUGCGCCGAAAAUGUACCGGGGCUAAACAUAUUACCGAAGCUGUGGAUUGUCCUUUGGACAAUGGUAGGAGAGCGUUCUAAGGGCGUUGAAGCAUGAUCGUAAGGACAUGUGGAGCGCUUAGAAGUGAGAAUGCCGGUGUGAGUAGCGAAAGACGGGUGAGAAUCCCGUCCACCGAUUGACUAAGGUUUCCAGAGGAAGGCUCGUCCGCUCUGGGUUAGUCGGGUCCUAAGCUGAGGCCGACAGGCGUAGGCGAUGGAUAACAGGUUGAUAUUCCUGUACCACCUAUAAUCGUUUUAAUCGAUGGGGGGACGCAGUAGGAUAGGCGAAGCGUGCGAUUGGAUUGCACGUCUAAGCAGUAAGGCUGAGUAUUAGGCAAAUCCGGUACUCGUUAAGGCUGAGCUGUGAUGGGGAGAAGACAUUGUGUCUUCGAGUCGUUGAUUUCACACUGCCGAGAAAAGCCUCUAGAUAGAAAAUAGGUGCCCGUACCGCAAACCGACACAGGUAGUCAAGAUGAGAAUUCUAAGGUGAGCGAGCGAACUCUCGUUAAGGAACUCGGCAAAAUGACCCCGUAACUUCGGGAGAAGGGGUGCUCUUUAGGGUUAACGCCCAGAAGAGCCGCAGUGAAUAGGCCCAAGCGACUGUUUAUCAAAAACACAGGUCUCUGCUAAACCGUAAGGUGAUGUAUAGGGGCUGACGCCUGCCCGGUGCUGGAAGGUUAAGAGGAGUGGUUAGCUUCUGCGAAGCUACGAAUCGAAGCCCCAGUAAACGGCGGCCGUAACUAUAACGGUCCUAAGGUAGCGAAAUUCCUUGUCGGGUAAGUUCCGACCCGCACGAAAGGCGUAACGAUUUGGGCACUGUCUCAACGAGAGACUCGGUGAAAUCAUAGUACCUGUGAAGAUGCAGGUUACCCGCGACAGGACGGAAAGA
rnacentral:rRNA from 1 species